GAUGAACGCUGGCGGCGUGCCUAAUACAUGCAAGUCGAGCGAACAGACGCGGCGCUUGCUCCUCUCACGUUAGCCGCGGACGUGUGAGUAACACGUGGAUACCCUACCUAUAAGACUGGGAUAACUUCGGGACACCGGAGCUAAUCCCGGAUAAUAUAUUGAACCGCAUGGUUCAAUAGUGAAAUACGGUUUUGCUGUCACUUCUAGAUGGAUCCGCGCCGCAUUAGAUAGUUGGUAAGGUAACGGCUUACCAAGGCAACGAUGCGUAGGCGACCUGAGAGAGUGAUCGGCCACACGGGAACUGAGACACGGUCCAGACUCCUAAGGGAGGCAGCAGUAGGGAAUCUUCCGCAAUGGGCGAAAGCCUGACGGAGCAACGCCGCGUGAGUGAUGAAGGUCUUCGGAUCGGAAAAAUCUGUUAUGAGGGAAGAACAAAUGUGUAAGUAACUAUGCACGUCGUGACGGUACCUAAUCAGAAAGCCACGGCUAACUACGUG
rnacentral:rRNA from 1 species